GUUAUACAUUUUAUAAUACUCAUCCCUGAAAGUGGACGUCUCAUCAGGCUCUGAACUCCAGGAUAUGACUGUGUACCUACCACAUAGGAGACCAAUCAUGACAUCCUUUUCAAGGUACUCUGUGUUUCUGCACAGGCCAUCUAUUUUUGCCUGCCUGGUGAACUGACUUAAUCUUCGGGUUUCAACUCAAGAGUCAUCUCCUCUGUGAAGUCUUCCCUGUCCCCACUUGCCAUACGAAGCAGUCAGGAUUGUAGUGCAGGUGUGUAUCAUAGAGAGCACCCAUCAAACUGUAUUGUAAUGGUCUCCUCUAUUUUACUGAGGUUCACAUCGACCCCUUGUGCCUAUUAAAAUAGAGCACAGAAGUCACUGAAAAAUGUUGAAUGAACAGGAACUUGAAAACAACUGCAAAUAAUGAACAUUUCAACAAAUUCAAGAGCAUACUUAAAUUCCAAAUUAACAAUGCAUGAUAUUAAAAAAAUGUAGAUUAGAGUGCUGAAUAUUUGGCUAACUAUUCAAGAGAAACUGCCACACAUGGCUCUGCAUUGAUACUUACUUGUCAAUGAUAUUUUGGAAAAUGCAGACGGAAGAAACAAAUACCCCCAUGUUUAUGUUAAGGGCCCAGGCUGGAGGGUAAAAUAAAGGCCUGAGGUAAUUCCCUCUCAA